rnacentral:misc_RNA from 1 species
GAUGAAGAACGUAGUGAAAUGCGAAAAGUAAUGUGAAUUGCAGAAUUCAGUGAAUCAUCGAAUCUUUGAACGCACAUUGCGCCCGCUGGUACUCCGGCGGGCAUGCCUGUCCGAGCGUCAUUUCAACCCUCAAGCCCUCCUUCGGGAUGGGCCUGGUGUUGGGGCUCGGCCGCCAUCUCCGGCGGCCGUCCCCUAAAUACAGUGGCGGUCACGUCGCGACUCCUUUGCGUAGUAGAAACACCUCGCUCCGGAUAGCAACGCGGUCCACGCCGUAAAACCCCCAAUUUUCAAUGGUUGACCUCGGAUCAGGUGGGAAUACCCGCUGAACUUAAGCAUAUCAAUAAGCGGAGGA